GGCUGAUUAGCUCAGUUGGCUAGAGCGUUCCGUUCACAUCGGAAAGGUCGAAGGUUCGAGUCCUUCAUCAGCCA
rnacentral:tRNA from 1 species